rnacentral:rRNA from 1 species
AUUGAACGCUGGCGGCAGGCCUAACACAUGAAAGUCGAGCGAGCGGCGGCCGGGUGAGUAAUGUAUGGGGACUGCCCGAUAGAGGGGGAUAACUACUGGAAACGGUGGAUAAUACAGCAUAACAUCGGGUAACCCAUAUGGGAUUAGCUAGUAGUGAGGGUAAAGGCUCACCUAGGCGACGAUCACUAGCUGGGCUGAGAGGAUGAUCAGCCACACGGGGACUGAGACACGGCCCAGACUCCUACGGAGGCAGCAGUGGGGAAUAUUGCACAAUGGGCGCAAGCCUGAUGCAGCCAUGCCGCGUGUAUGAAGAAGGCCUUAGGGUUGUAAAGUACUUUCAGCGGGGAGGCGUUACCCGCAGAAGAAGCACCGGCUAACUCCGUGCCAGCAGCCGCGGUAAUAC